rnacentral:rRNA from 1 species
AACUAGGAUUAGAUACCCUAUUAUUUUAAAGUUUAUUUUAAAGUAGUAAAUUAUUUUUUCUAAACUUAAUUUUUCUGGCGGUUCAUUACUCUAUCAGAGGAGCUUGUUAGUAUAAUUCGAUAACCCGCUGUUAUGCUCACCAUUUUUGUUUUUAUGUACGGCUGUUAAGUUUUAAGAUUUAGCUUAUUGCUUUUAGGGUAAUUUCCCAGUAGUUCAGGUCAAUGUGUAAACUAUAAAUUGGUACUAAUGAGCUACUUUUUUCCAUAAAAUUAAUUGUAUUUGAAAUUGGAUUUGAUAGUAAAUAAAAAAUUAAACUUUUUGUGAUG